rnacentral:rRNA from 1 species
AGAGUUUGAUCCUGGCUCAGGACGAACGCUGGCGGCGUGCUUAACACAUGCAAGUCGAGCGGUAAGGCCCUUUCGGGGGUACACGAGCGGCGAACGGGUGAGUAACACGUGGGUGACCUGCCCUCAGCUCUGGGAUAAGCCUGGGAAACUGGGUCUAAUACCGGAUAUGACCACAUGUCGCAUGGUGUGUGGUGGAAAGUUUUUUUCGGCUGGGGAUGGGCCCGCGGCCUAUCAGCUUGUUGGUGGGGUGAUGGCCUACCAAGGCGACGACGGGUAGCCGGCCUGAGAGGGCGACCGGCCACACUGGGGCUGAGACACGGCCCAGACUCCUACGGGAGGCAGCAGUGGGGAAUAUUGCGCAAUGGGCGAAAGCCUGACGCAGCGACGCCGCGUGGGGGAUGACGGCCUUCGGGUUGUAAACCUCUUUCGACCUUGACGAAGCCUUCGGGUGACGGUAGGGGUAGAAGAAGCACCGGCCAACUACGUG